rnacentral:lncRNA from 1 species
UCAUAACCCUUAUACAAAAAUUCCAAAUCAAGCUUCCUAGCACCCAACCAGUUGGGGAUCCAACAAACAUUACACCACAUCAGCCCUAUUAACAUACUAGAUCAAGAUACAAGAGCAAAACAAAAUACAAUUACAUCAACCCUCUAAAGGAAUCACAUUCUCAAAACAAAACUCAACAGUCCAACAACUCAACAAGAUAUUUGCUAGCAAACAAAAGUACGCCAAACAUCCAAGUGCUAAAACCAUCAAACCGACCAUGUGAGGAGGAUACAAAAGCCAAAAAAACCUGUAUAAAGCACACCACAACUUUCAAAUCUGGACAAAUCGUUAAACAUGAAUCACCAAACCUCAAUCUCUCAAAUCUCAUACAACAUAAAGGUUCCAACACCAAUCCGAAUAAGAUAAAUCAACCAAAUUUUC